rnacentral:rRNA from 1 species
GAUGAACGCUGGCGGCGUGCCUAACACAUGCAAGUCGAACGGAGUCCAGCCUUUAAGACCUUCCGGUCAAAGAGGGGAAGACUGAGUGGCGGACGGGUGAGUAACACGUGGGCAACCUGGCUCAUAGAGGGGGAUAACAGCGAGAAAUUUCUGCUAAUACCGCAUAAGCACACACUGCCGCAUGGCAGAGGGUGCUGAGAGAAUCGCUAUGAGAUGGACCGGAGUCUGAUUAGCCAGAUGGCAGGGUAAGAGCCUACCAAAGCGACGAUCAGUAGCCGAUCUGAGAGGAUGAACGGCCACAUUGGGACUGAGACACGGCCGAGACUCCUACGCGAGGCAGCAGUGGGGGAUAUUGCACAAUGGGGGGAACCCUGAUGCAGCGACGCCGCGUGAGUGAAGAAGUAUUUCGGUAUGUAAAGCUCUAUCAGCAGGGAAGAUAAUGACAGUACCUGAAUAAGAAGCCCCGGCUAACUACGUG